UACAGAGGUCUCAAGCGUUGUUCGGAAUUACUGGGCGUAAAGCGUGCGUAGGCGGUUCGCUGUGUCCGAUGUGAAAGCCCCGGGCUUAACCUGGGAAUGGCAUUGGAAACUGGCGGGCUUGAGUGCGGCAGAGGGGGGUGGAAUUCCGCGUGUAGCAGUGAAAUGCGUAGAGAUGCGGAGGAACACCGAUGGCGAAGGCAGCCCCCUGGGUCGACACUGACGCUCAGGCACGAAAGCGUGGGGAGCAAACAGG
rnacentral:rRNA from 1 species